rnacentral:RNase_P_RNA from 1 species
CGAGUCGGCCGGGCGACGGCUCCAAGCUCCUUGUGGGCGUGGGGAGGAAAGUCCGGACUUCAAAGGGCAAAGUGCCUGGCGCAAGCCAGGGCGGGGCGACCCGACGGAAAGUGCCACAGAAACAUACCGCCGAAGUGGGCCUCGGUCUGCUGGUAAGGGUGAAAUGGUGAGGUAAGAGCUCACCGGCCGUAGAGGUAACUCGCGGGCCGGGCAAACCCCACUUGAAGCAAGGUCAAAUAGGGAGGGGUUGACGCUGCCCGCCGACCCUCCGGGUUGAUCGCUUAGAUAAAUCGUCGCACAAAGACAGAAUCCGGCUUACAGGCCGACUCAUGCA